rnacentral:rRNA from 1 species
UACGUAGGGGGCAAGCGUUGUCCGGAUUUAUUGGGCGUAAAGAGCGUGUAGGCGGCUGGGUAGGUCCGUUGUGAAAACUCGAGGCUCAACCUCGAGACGCCGAUGGAAACCCCCCAGCUAGAGUCCGGAAGAGGAGAGUGGAAUUCCUGGUGUAGCGGUGAAAUGCGCAGAUAUCAGGAAGAACACCCGUGGCUAAGGCGGCUCUCUGGAACGGUACUGACGCUGAGACGCGAAAGCGUGGGGAGCAAACAGG